rnacentral:rRNA from 1 species
GAAUUGAAGAGUUUGAUCAUGGCUCAGAUUGAACGCUGGCGGCAGGCUUAACACAUGCAAGUCGAACGGUAGCAGGAAGAAAGCUUGCUUUCUUUGCUGACGAGUGGCGGACGGGUGAGUAAUGCUUGGGAAUCUGGCUUAUGGAGGGGGAUAACUGUGGGAAACUGCAGCUAAUACCGCGUAAUCUCUGAGGAGUAAAGGGUGGGACCUCUUGGCCACCUGCCAUAAGAUGAGCCCAAGUGGGAUUAGGUAGUUGGUGGGGUAAAGGCCUACCAAGCCUGCGAUCUCUAGCUGGUCUGAGAGGAUGACCAGCCACACUGGAACUGAGACACGGUCCAGACUCCUACGGGAGGCAGCAGUGGGGAAUAUUGCGCAAUGGGGGGAACCCUGACGCAGCCAUGCCGCGUGAAUGAAGAAGGCCUUCGGGUUGUAAAGUUCUUUCGG